UCUGGGGGCAAGCACGGGAGGGAUAAAUUGGGAGUUUGGGCUUAGCACAUGCAGACUGCUAUGUACAGAAUAAGAUAAAUGACAAGGUCCUGCUGUGUAGCACAGGGAACUACAUUCAAUAUCUUGUAAUUAUCUAUAAUGAAAA